UUCUCUCGUAAUGUACUGUCAUGGGACUGAUCCAGUGCAGCACACAACCAUGGUUAUUAGUCUACUCUCUACAGAAGUGGUAGCUAGCAGACGGGUUUGCUUUCGUCACAAGUGUGUAGGCACUGACACUUCAAUUUACAACUUCGCAGUUGAGUGUAUGUGAGAACUACGUCUAGUAGGAAUACCCAGACCAAGGAGAAUGAACUCAUUUCGGGGAAAUGCAACUCAUGGACGGGACCCUGACAACUGCAGGUUUACUGUGGAGGGUUGUCCCAGCGGAGAGUCGCGGUUCCCUCUUGAUCUGAAUACCAGGAAAAUUCUUCACUCAUCCGAGUAUGCGCGGUGUAACAGCCGGCCACCACCCGAGGGCGCUGGGUCGGUGACCGUCUCCGAGUCAGAGAGAAGGGACGGCAAAGGAAGCUUUUGCCAACAAUGUCAAAUUAAUGUGACUGAGCUGAAGAGGCAAGCGCUGGUCUUGGCAGACCCAGAAUAAACGUUUAACUUUA